AGGGGAGGCCGGAUCCUGGGCUGUGUCCCGGCGCCCUGUGCUCCGGAGCCUGCGCUGUUGGAUUCGCGCUCCCGCCCGGCAGCCCCCU
rnacentral:pre_miRNA from 1 species